UACAGGGGGGGCAAGCGUUGUUCGGAAUUACUGGGCGUAAAGGGCCAGUAGGCGGCCGACUAAGUCCGACGUGAAACUCCCCAGGCUUAACCUGGGAACUGCGUCGGAUACUGGUUGGCUUGAAUUCGGGAGAGGGAUGCAGAAUUCCAGGUGUAGCGGUGAAAUGCGUAGAUAUCUGGAGGAAUACCGGUGGCGAAGGCGGCAUCCUGGACCGACAUUGACGCUGAACGGCGGAAAGCUAAGGGGAGCAAACGGG
rnacentral:rRNA from 1 species